UGUAGGGCCUUCGGAUGAGGACCCUUUCCCAAAAAUUGGCGUAUGCCGCUUUAGGUGACAAAUACACGGUAUUCUUUAGUAAAAGGCGAAAGAAUAGUUCGCUAUGUAUUUAUCACACGGCUCCGUAACUUCCUUUCGAAAUAGCUCUUUCCUUUUAUAGCACACAACAUACUUCAACUUAGUACAUUGCUCGAUGUGGGCUUUGGUGAGGGAUCCAACACCCAUCAGCGUAAUACUUCUCCAACUCCACUUAUCUGUGCGGUGCCCCCAACUCAACAUGCUGUUGUCUCAACACCUCAAAGCAAAGUAGGUAGAAGAAACUGGACCUUGGUUUAAUUAAACUUGGCUUCUGCAAGAAGAUUUGUUCCUUCAUUUUUUGUAGCAUACUAGAAACACUGAAUGAGACUGAUGGUUACUUAGUUGUUCAACUCCUUGUUCAGCUUCUGAUUUCUCUUCUCUUCUCGUCCAGUUUCAUUUUCCCUAAACCAAAGGCGUUUAAAAUAUGAUUUUUUGUGAAAGGAUGAAACAGUGUGCAUGUUGGUAACUUGAAUUUAGAAGUUAUCAAGAGAGAUUUUGAAGAUGAAUUCCAUGUUUUCAGAGAGAUAUGGAGGCAGCAGAAGCAUUACUUGAUAAUUUUGCAUUUACAAAUUGAAAGAAAGAACGAGAAUCUUUAAGUAUUUAACAUAUUACACUGUGAAUGCUGAUAAUAUUUCACAUAGAAUGCACAUCUUUCUCUAAAGAUGCCAAUUUUUCUUUCUUGUUGAUGGAUUUGGGGUUGGGGGUAUCCUCUGUAGCUACGGAUCAUCAAAUAUGAGAAGAAGGCUAUGCCUGGGCGUAAUUCAGAAUAUGUUUUCUCUCUUUCUAAUAUUGUAGUGGAGAAUAAAGAAGAUAAAACAGAAUUAUGAAUUGCUUGGUACGAUAAUUUUUAA